rnacentral:rRNA from 1 species
GACGAACGCUGGCGGCGUGCUUAACACAUGCAAGUCGAACGGAAAGGCCCUGCUUUUGUGGGGUGCUUGAGUGGCGAACGGGUGAGUAACACGUGAGUAACCUGCCCUUGACUUUGGGAUAACUUCAGGAAACUGGGGCUAAUACCGGAUAGGAGCUCCUGCUGCAUGGUGGGGGUUGGAAAGUUUCGGCGGUUGGGGAUGGACUCGCGGCUUAUCAGCUUGUUGGUGGGGUAGUGGCUUACCAAGGCUUUGACGGGUAGCCGGCCUGAGAGGGUGACCGGCCACAUUGGGACUAAGAUACGGCCCAGACUCCUACGGGAGGCAGCAGUGGGGAAUAUUGCACAAUGGGCGGAAGCCUGAUGCAGCAACGCCGCGUGCGGGAUGACGGCCUUCGGGUUGUAAACCGCUUUCGCCUGUGACGAAGCGUGAGUGACGGUAAUGGGUAAAGAAGCACCGGCUAACUACGUG